GCGGCCGUGGUUUGGCUCGGCUGCAGAGGGGACGGAGAAGGGAGUGGUUCCGGGAACGGUGCCGGGGGGCAUAAUUGAUUGAUGAUAAUCAGUGUGUGUGUGUUCUACCUUUAAGUAGGAGAGAUCCGGCGACAGCGAGGGAGGCUGGCGAAGGAGCUGGAGCUGAUCGCGUGCUGUAUGAAAACGGUUCCAUAAAGACUGUAAACCAGUACGCUGUAUCCUCGUCAUUUCCCGUUCCCCCAACAGGACAGCACGUGACAGAAGGCUACAGGAGCAAUGCUGGGUUAAGUGUCUUGCUCAAGGGCUCAUCAACACGCGGGUCAGCAGGGAUGGAACCGUUGAUCCUCUGGUUGGACUCUUCACCCACAGUCUCCCUGAUGCUUCAUGUCACCAUUGACUUUUGUAUCAUUUCUGUGGUGAUCACUAAUAUUUUUGGUAAUGCAGCGAUAAAAUGAAUAAAGAACCAGUAGAGCUGCUGUCACUGCUGUCAGUCCCAGUGCACAGUAGAGGCCGAUCCUUCUCAGUCUGGUGUCACUCGUUGUCUCAGGUUCGGGUCGAUCCUUCACUGCUGCAAAGAGACAC
ensembl:lncRNA